rnacentral:rRNA from 1 species
CCCAUUAUCUGGGGUGAGGACAGUGCCUGGUGGGUAGUUUGACUGGGGCGGUCUCCUCCCAAAGAGUAACGGAGGAGCACGAAGGUGGGCUAAUCACGGUUGGACAUCGUGAGGUUAGUGCAAUGGCAUAAGCCCGCUUAACUGCGAGAAUGACGGUUCGAGCAGGUGCGAAAGCAGGUCAUAGUGAUCCGGUGGUUCUGUAUGGAAGGGCCAUCGCUCAACGGAUAAAAGGUACUCCGGGGAUAACAGGCUGAUACCGCCCAAGAGUUCAUAUCGACGGCGGUGUUUGGCACCUCGAUGUCGGCUCAUCACAUCCUGGGGCUGAAGUCGGUCCCAAGGGUAUGGCUGUUCGCCAUUUAAAGUGGUACGCGAGCUGGGUUUAGAACGUCGUGAGACAGUUCGGUCCCUAUCUGCCGUGGGCGUUGGAAGAUUGAAGGGGGCUGCUCCUAGUACGAGAGGACCGGAGUGGACGAACCUCUGGUGUUCGGGUUGUGUCGCCAGACGCAUUGCCCGGUAGCUAAGUUCGGAAUUGAUAAGCGCUGAAAGCAUCUAAGCGCGAAGCGAGCCCUGAGAUGAGUCUUCCCUGAUACUUUAAGUAUCCUAAAGGGUUGUUCGAGACUAGAACGUUGAUAGGCAGGGUGUGUAAGCGUUGUGAGGCGUUGAGCUAACCUGUACUAAUUGCCCGUGAGGCUUAACCAU